GCACUGUUGACGAGUCCCAAAAUAAGACGAAACGGCCGUCCAGUGC
rnacentral:hammerhead_ribozyme from 1 species